CCUACGGGCGGCAGCAGUGGGGAAUAUUGCACAAUGGGGGAAACCCUGAUGCAGCGACGCCGCGUGAGCGAGGAAGUAUUUCGGUAUGUAAAGCUCUAUCAGCAGGGAAGAAAGAAAUGACGGUACCUGACUAAGAAGCCCCGGCUAACUACGUGCCAGCAGCCGCGGUAAUACGUAGGGGGCAAGCGUCAUCCGGAUGUACUGGGUGUAAAGGGAGCGUAGACGGCGAUGCAAGUCUGAAGUGAAAGGCGGGGGGCCAACCCCCGGACUGCUUUGGAAACUGUAUGGCUGGAGUGCAGGAGAGGUAAGUGGAAUUCCUAGUGUAGCGGUGAAAUGCGUAGAUAUUAGGAGGAACACCAGAGGCGAAGGCGGCUUACUGGACUGUAACUGACGUUGAGGCUCGAAGGCGUGGGGAGCAAACAGGAUUAGAUACCCCAGUAGUC
rnacentral:rRNA from 1 species